GGUGAAGUGGCCGAGUGGCUGAAGGCGCACGCCUGGAAAGUGUGUAUACGUUAGUAGCGUAUCGAGGGUUCGAAUCCCUCCUUCACCGCCA
rnacentral:tRNA from 2 species